rnacentral:lncRNA from 1 species
GAAAGGCUACACGCGGAAUCAUCACUUCCACUCCACAGGCAAGCAGAGGACGGCCUCCUCCAUCAGUCUGGGCCCUGGGGGCGUGCCUGGGUCAGUAGCCAAUCGGGCAGGAGGGCGGGACUUCGAGAACUGCCCAGUCAUGCGCUGGAAGAGCGCCACAUUUCUCUUCCCCUUGGUCAAGUGGAGAAUCGCUUCCCCAAUCUGUCAGGCCUCAGGGUCACUAGCCAAUCAGACAGGAGGGCGGGCUUGAGAACCACCCAAUCAGACGCUGGAAUAGCGCUACGGCGGCCUGGGGGUGGGCGGGCUCUUCCGGUUGGGAGGCUCCUGGCUCAGGCUGUUUCCCAGGGUCCUGAGGUGGCGCCUCGGAGCUACCGGAAUGACGUGAAAACCCGGAAACGGCGAGAUUUCACCCUCAGCACCCUGAGGAGCUGUCUGUGGGCCGGGCCGGGCCGGGCCGCGGGCCUGCCUCAGGGAGUCAGCCGCGGGCUCCGCAACCAAGGUGUCCGUUCCUGGGAGACAUUGUGCUUGUGCGGUGCAGAUAGUUGGCAAAUUACAGACAUUACAGAAAAUCUCAUUCCAUCUGCUUUUCAGGCCGAAGAACUUGGGAUGGUGAGUAACGCUGUUGUCUCUUCUGGUACUUGCUUUUGAGAUUAAACAGAAGUGUUAAAAUGUAAUUAAUUAUCCCCCAAACUAUUUGUCAUGAUGCAAGUAAUUAAGAAUUGUUGGGCAUUGCCUAAAAUAGUCCCUAACAACAUGGCGCCUGGCGGAUGAUUGGGGGGCAUGUCUGCGGCUGCUGUGGUUAAACUGUGCGAGAUCGGGCCACCUGUAGGGAUAGGUCUGAUUUAUUUCCGGACACGUGGACAGUGCAUGAUCCCUAUACCUCGCUUAAGGUGCCCCUGCGUGUGGUCCACCCGUGCGUGCGUGACCUUUUGCUGAUUGCCUCUCCUACUGUACAUGCUAUUCAUAAGCUUUAUAAGCCUGUACACUUCCUCAAUAAAACGGUUCCUGCUUCGACA